GCAUAUCAAUAAGCGGAGGAAAAGAAACCAACAGGGAUUGCCCCAGUAACGGCGAGUGAAGCGGCAAGAGCUCAAAUUUGAAAGCUGGCUCCUUCGGGGUCCGCAUUGUAAUUUGCAGAGGAUGCUUCGGGAGCGGUCCCCAUCUAAGUGCCCUGGAACGGGCUGUCAUAGAGGGUGAGAAUCCCGUAUGGGAUGGGGUGUCCGCGCCCGUGUGAAGCUCCUUCGACGAGUCGAGUUGUUUGGGAAUGCAGCUCUAAAUGGGUGGUAAAUUUCAUCUAAAGCUAAAUAUUGGCCGGAGACCGAUAGCGCACAAGUAGAGUGAUCGAAAGAUGAAAAGCACUUUGAAAAGAGAGUUAAAAAGCACGUGAAAUUGUUGAAAGGGAAGCGUUUGCGACCAGACUCGCCUACGGGGUUCAGCCUGCCUUCGGGCAGGUGUACUUCCCCGUGGGCGGGCCAGCGUCGGUUUGGGCGGCCGGUCAAAGGCCCUCGGAAUGUAACGCCUCUCGGGGCGUCUUAUAGCCGAGGGUGCCAUGCGGCCUGCCCGGACCGAGGAACGCGCUUCGGCUCGGACGCUGGCUUAAUGGUCGUAAACGACCCGUCUUGAAACACGGACC
rnacentral:rRNA from 1 species